UACGGAGGAUCCAAGCGUUAUCCGGAUUUAUUGGGUUUAAAGGGUGCGUAGGCGGGAAAUUAAGUCAGUGGUGAAAGUUUGCAGCUCAACUGUAAAAUUGCCAUUGAAACUGAUUUUCUUGAGUGUAAAUGAGGUAGGCGGAAUGUGUUGUGUAGCGGUGAAAUGCUUAGAUAUAACACAGAACACCGAUUGCGAAGGCAGCUUACUGGGAUACAACUGACGCUGAUGCACGAAAGGCGUGGGGAUCAAACAGG
rnacentral:rRNA from 1 species